GAGUUUGAUCGUGGCUCAGGACGAACGCUGGCGGUAUGCCUAAUACAUGCAAGUCGAGCGCAGGAAGCAGACUGAAGCCUUCGGGUGGAUGUCUGUGGAAUGAGCGGCGGAUGGGUGAGUAUCACGUGGGUAACCUGCCUGUAAGCUUGGGGAUAACUCCGGGAAACCGGUGCUAAUACCAGAUAAGAUUUCCGUUCGCAUGAACGGAAAAUGAAAGGCGGCUUUUGCUGUCACUUACAGAUGGACCCGCGUCGCAUUAGCUAGUUGGUGGGGUAAAGGCUCACCAAAGCAACGAUGCGUAGCCGACCUGAGAGGGUGAUCGGCCACACUGGGACUGAGACACGGCCCAGACUCCUACGGGAGGCAGCAGUAGGAUCUUCGCAUGACGAAGUCUGACGGAGCAAUACCGCGUGAGUGAU
rnacentral:rRNA from 1 species